UGGGAACGUACCCUUUGGUUCGGAACAACCCAGGGAAACUUGGGCUAAUACCGGAUAAGUCCGUAAGGAGAAAGAUUUAUCGCCAAAGGAUCGGCCCGCGUCUGAUUAGCUAGUUGGUAGGGUAAUGGCCUACCAAGGCUACGAUCAGUAGCUGGUCUGAGAGGAUGAUCAGCCACAUUGGGACUGAGACACGGCCCAGACUCCGUACGGGGAGGCAG
rnacentral:rRNA from 1 species